rnacentral:rRNA from 1 species
UACAUGUGGGGCAAGCGUUGUUCGGAAUUACUGGGCGUAAAGGGUGCGUAGGCGGCUUGUUAAGUCAGGUGUGAAAGUUUUCGGCCCAACCGGAAAAUGGCCUUUGAUACUGGCGAGCUCGAGUGCGUGAGGGGUAACCGGAACGAGCAGUGUAGCGGUGAAAUGCGUAGAUAUGCGGAGGAACACCGAUGGCGAAGGCAAUCCCCUGGGCCUGCACUGACGCUCAUGCACGAAAGCGUGGGGAGCAAACAGG